UACAGAGGGUGCAAGCGUUAAUCGGAAUUACUGGGCGUAAAGAGCUCGUAGGUGGUUUGUCGCGUUGUUCGUGAAAACUCACAGCUCAACUGUGGGCGUGCGGGCGAUACGGGCAGACUAGAGUACUGCAGGGGAGACUGGAAUUCCUGGUGUAGCGGUGGAAUGCGCAGAUAUCGAGGAGGAACACCUGGCGGCGAAGGCGGGUUGCUGGGCUGACACUGACGCUGAGGCGCGAAAGCUAGGGGAGCGAACGGG
rnacentral:rRNA from 1 species